AUAGGCUAUAUUUGAUUUUAAGUCUUUUUUUUUUUUUUCAUGUAUAUGUGGAAUCCAUGCUUCUUGUAAGGUUCAAAUGGUCCAGAAAUAGGUAACCCCAUAGGAAAAGUCCCUUGUAUCAGUCCUAACACUGUUAACAUUCUGUGGGUAACUUAAAGAAUAAAUCUUAAAUUCAGGUACAUUUCUUUCAUGUUAUGUCACCAUUUAGAAAUGAAGCAGCUCAAACAUAUUCCAUUUUUGUUUCCCAUUACUAUCACCUAACAAUAAAAGUUUUAUAUUUACAAGGAAGAACACAGGCUCUUUUCUAGGUUCAAGGCAGAGAGCCUGAGGUGCAAAGAAGGUGUGAUAAUUUUUCCUGAUUCCAAGAACUGAGCCAGGAAAGAGUUUGCCUCCUUAAAACACGGGGCCGCCGUUCUUUGUUAUUUUAAAAGCUGUAACUAUAAAGAUUUCCUUUCAAUUUUUCUUUUGUAACUUAGGUCAAAACUAGAAUGCUCUUUUGUUGUAUGUUUAUGUGUUGCAUUGCCCCAAUUAUAAAAUAUUACCUGCUGAGAAAACUGAGGCCAGAGUGGAGAGGGACUGUGGUUGGGGAGUCUACUUCUGACACAGCCACCAACUCUCUGUGACCCUUCUCUGGGCCUCCCCUUCCUAGACUAUAUUAUUUUUAUAAUGAAGAACAAAAGCGAAGAGCAACAAUAAAACCCUCUACUGGGCAGCGGCGUGGAGGGUGCUGCAAAGACUGCUGGUUGUCCUACAUGCCAUUCUUCCUGAGUACAACAUUUUUUGUAUUUUUAGCUGAGCACAUAAUUGACCCACAAAAUAGACUGUUUUCUUGCCUCCCUUGCUAGAUGUGGUCAGUGGAAAAUAAGCAAAAUGUUUUUAAAGGGAAGGGGUGUUUUAUUUUUCUCCAGUUACUCCUUUCUAAUGGCUGGAAUGUGGACAUGAUGGCUGGAGCACAAGCACCUACUUUAGACCAUGAGGAAACUUUGGGAAUGAAAACUACACACUGCAGAUCAACCAGAUAGAGCCUGGGUUCCUUGUUCGGUGCCCCAAGCCACCCUGAAAUCGCCGAGUGUGUCGCCUGGCUCCGCUCCUCUUCUGGGCCCCCUCCGCCAACCCCCAAGUGACCUGAUGGUGGUCCGAAGUCCCCUCUGAGUAACCCUGCCCCCAGCACUUCCCACCUGAGCUUUCACGCUGGAUGGCCUCACAGCACUUGUAGGAGGGAGGCGCACCGUACUAGAGCAAGAUUCAGGAUGCCUCAAGCUGACACUUGACUCCGGUGGCUUCCACGGUGAGGAAAUUUCUGCUUUCUCAUAACAAGGUGGCAAGAAGUGAAAUGGUGCCAGUACUGGGCACCUCGGACGUCACAAGUGCAAACUGACCUCGCUCGGUCACCCACAAACUUACUUCUCUUCCACUCUGGUCUUGGCAUCUUCAACAUCUCCUCUCCCUCGUCUUCUGCAUCCACUCCACCCCAACACCACUGUGCCUGGACCAUUGCUGGAGCUUCCUCCUGCCUCCCUGAAGCCACCCUGACUGGCCAGCCACUCCUUACCAUCCUAAAAUGAAGGUCAUUCUCGGAGGGCAGCAGUCACAUCCGCUUCACCUCUGGGAUCCCUCGAACACCAGCAGAGGGUCUGGUACAAAAUAGGAGCCGAUGAAUAUCCAAUCAGCAGGGUUUAUUGAGGAUCUGCUACACACCAGGAAUAUUCUUUCAUGGGUGACGGCUUCCAGGGAAGGUCAGCUGAACAGAGCCUCUGGUCACAGUCUGCCUUCGGCUCUCCUGAGAGGGGACUGGAGCCUCUUCUGGAGAAGCCGGUGAGGUUAUGAAUGGGUCCUGAAAACCUGGGGCUCCCAGCAAGUCGAUGGCGAGUUUGGGUGCUGACUUUCCUGAACGGGUCUUCCAUUUGAGCAGGAGGAGAUAGACGUUGGAAGGGGGACAGCAGGCAGAGAGAAAGGGCAGCCCGCCCUCCACUGUUUGGCAAACGUGUAUUUACCAUGAGCGGACGCAGGAGCCUUGCCAAGGCCGAGGCCUCCACAGGAAUCAGAGUUGGGACGACGGAAGAAGGAAGCAUUUGGCUUCACAUUCUAGAGAAAGAAGACCCUACUGGGCUGCAGACUCCCCUCCAGGGGCUGUUGGAAAGCGGCUGGACCUCUUCUGCUUCUCCCCAACCACUCUGCCACUCUGCCAGUUACCAGUUACCAGCAGGGACUAUGCAGUCACUGAAACCAGCACCCUAGGGAGGCCCAACUCUGGACACCAGCAACACAGAAAGGAGACGCCGACACCCCAAGGAGGUGAUUACGCCAGGCGGGCAGCGAAACACAGAACCUCUCGUCUCUCCUCUCCCUCUCUUCCCACACAGCCUUCCCCCACCAUGAGCGUUUAUUAGCUGUGAGGUGUUUACCUUGUCACUAGAUGGAACUGGGAACUGGGUCUUUUUGUAUCUGAAAGUCACCAGAAAGCCACAGGACUUGCCAAGAUGGUCAGAAGGGAUGGGAAGGGGAGGCUGAAGGUUGGAUUUAGGGGAAAAUGGCUACACCCCCACCCUUCACUGAGCUGAGCACCUUGGGAGCCAGUGACCAGAGCAGCUUCCCCGAGGGCACCCAUUCUGUGUCCGGAGAGCCCAGCUGUGCAGGGGCCCUCGGUGAGGGGCGACACAGAAUCCAAGGGAUGAGUGGCUCCCGGAGUGAGGCUCAGCCCUUGUCCUUGCUGGGUACCAAGCGGCAACUGCUGUUGUCAUCAGGGAGCUCUCCUAGGUUGGCAACGCCAUCCAGGAAGUGCUAUCCCGGGGGGCCGCCCUCCCUCCUGCCCUCCUGCCCUCCCUCUCCAGCGUCAGGCCCCGGGCCAGAGGGAGCCGACAGCAAAGGUCCUUGGAACCCAGAGGAGCAAAUCCCCUGGACUCAGUGAGGAGUUGGGAGGUCCGGGCCAGGGUGGAGACACAAGGCGGUUCUGAGCCCAGACCUGGCUGAGGGCACAAGUUCAGGAGGCAGCAGGGUGGUUUCCCAUGCCGCUUUUGUAAGGCCUUGUAACUUAAGCCCCCAGUCUGCAGAGUGAAUAAAGGCGGACCUUUUUUCA